GUUCUGGGCUUUACUUUUGGCAUAGUCUCCUGGAUGCGUUUUGCUGGGGAUGGAAAAAAGCGGUAAAUGGAACCUCUGAAAACUAAUUGUUUUGCUUCGGUGUGACUCGAGAAAGAGGAAAAAGGGGAAAGAAUCACAAUCCAGCUGGCGGAAUUUAAAUUUCUUGCUGAGAAGUUUACAGAGGGACCACACAAAAGAAAUGAAUUUCCUUAUUGCGAGAAAUCCUGAUUAUUAAUCGAUGCAGAAAGCAAAGGGGCUGAUGUUCUCCCAGGUGUUCUGCACAACAUGUUGCUGGAAAAAAGGAAUGUGCAAUGGAGAUUGUUAAUAUGGAAGUAUCCUAAGAAAUGGCAUACCAUUUGAGAAAAUAAACACACUAGAUUUUGGCACAAAGGAUAAUUAAUUUUACCA